CAUAUUUGGAGUAAGGUUCCAGCAUAAGCGUAGGAUAGUAUAAAGGGAGCAAGUCGGUUGUGGUGUGCCGAGACCGACGAUACGGUAGGCCUGUAAAUAAAGAGGGCCCACCAAGGAGUAAGAAAGUAAAGUAAAUGGAAAGAAAAGAGAAAGUGUUGAAAUGAGGAGUGGGUGGGAGGGUCAUUCUGAUGCUGACCUCAAGUGAUAUGGAGUCAGGUAAGGGGUGUCCCUUAUAUAGGGAGUGAAUUAAUUUAAGCCCCUUCCACAAAUACAGGCCAAACGGCAUUUAUACUUGUGUGGGGGGCAAAUAGCCAUAUAUGGAGUAAGGUUCCAGCAUAAGCGUAGGAUAGUAUAAAGGGAGCAAGUCGGUUGUGGUGUGGCCUGUAAUUAAUGAGAGCAAAAAUGAAUAAUCAAAGAUUUAAUACAGUCAACAAAUAUAUACAAAUAAACCAGACAUUUACUUAAAUGCAUUACGGUAUUUAAUUCCUGGAAGGGUUUUGAAGGUAGGAAUCUAGGACCACAACUGGACACCAUUUGUUGUAGGUAGAAUAGAAUGUUAUCUCUACUGUUGGUGCGUGUUGACUCAUUUCGGAAUGUGGUAGAGCCAAUAGGUAAUGAUAUAUGUGUUUACGUACGUGGGAUCAUUGAAGACAAUGAUCUGUCUGAGUGGUGGUGAUAGUAGUGGAUUCUCUGGCCUGAGAAAGGCAUAGAAGGCAGUGUGCAUGGCUGGUAAUGGCCGACUUGGUAGUAUAAUUGAAUGGUUGUAGAUGUAAUAGGUCCGAUAAGGAUGGAAAAGUUGGAUGGCUAUUGGUAAUCUCUAAGAGGAACAUGGGGGAAUGGAUUCCUGAAAACCUCUGAGUAUAUUCUUGUCUGGGAUGAUAGCAUGAAGUUAUGGUAAUUUUGGCCAUAGUUUAUCCUGUGUUGUUGAAUGCCUGUAAAAUAUAUAAUUAAUGGUGUGUGAGAUAGUUUCAGUUUAAGAUGGCAAAAAGAAGCAAAACCUAGGAGAAAUGUUAUGACACAGUUUGAGAUAUGUUGUGUUCCAAUGAGAUUCUUUAAGCCAGGUGAAAAGCUGUGUUAUGCGUUCUACAAGUAUGGGACGAAAGUGCUAGGUGGGAUAGUGCAUGCUAUGCUGCAUGAGUAUGUCUAAUCCAUGAUUUUGUCUCUGGAAUGAAAGAGUGGCUUUCACGGUAGGGGCGGCUGUAGGAAGUGUAUGAUGAACAUGCCUGGAAUAUAAAUGAGACAAUUGUCGGCAGGGAUGUAUGCCCCCACCUGGUACAUGAAAGUAAAAGAAAUGUGAUAAGUGGCCAACCAAGUGAGUUCCCCAGAAAUAUCAGGAUCGUAUGGAUGAUGAGUGGAGUAUGUUGAUGAAUGACAUGUGCAUAGUUGUCUGAGUAACAAUGGAUUGAUGACCCUGACCAUGAUUUACCCCAUGCCACAGCAGCUGCUACAAUUGGGUAGAUCCCCCAAAGGGGCUGAGGUGGUGGAAAAAAUUCCAAACCUGGAUGCCAUGGCCAACAGCUCCAAAGCUAUCGUUCCCGGUAGAUCGCUGCCAAACCCGUGGUAGACACCGCGACUGACCAUCUGGUUGGAAAAGUGUCAGACAAUCCUGGAAGGAACAUGCUUUUACCAUGCCAAGUGGUUAAGAAAUCACCCCCCCCCCCCCAGUCUGCUGUGGCUGAGGUGUCUAGGGACAUCCUCUGAUCAUCAUGUUGGAAGUGUGGAAAAAAGGGGAAAGAACUCUGGAUGUGAAAGCGUAGUCUUGUGGUAUGAUUUGCAUGGAAAAAUUAAAGAACCUGGUAGGGAUUGUAGUUCCUAGCGGUUGUAAGUACUAAGCAGGAGGUAGUGAUUGAUGUAGUUGAGAAUGUUCCCUAUUUGUCUUGUGGUAACUUGCGUGUAUGGAUGCCGACUCAAGUCGUAUGCCCAGUAAUGUGAUGAUAGUGUCUAGGCCUUCUGUUUCUUAUGGGGUAAAGGGAAGCCCAAGUGGUCAACCAGACUAAGCUGCCGUGAGUCUUCUAGUGGAAAUAUGUUAUCUUUGAUCAACAAGAAGUCUUCUAGAUAGUGUAUGACUGUAAGGCCUCUGGAUAUGUUAUCAUAACCAGCACAGAGUAUCUGAGAAUAUCGAUAGUAGGCUAAUCUGUAGCCCGGAAGUUGAGCAGGGAAAGGAUUGCCCAUUUUAUGCCAUGUAAGUGCCAAUGUGUAGGGUAAAUGGUAGCCGAUGGUACUGCGUUGAUGAUAUUGGUCUUACUUAACCAAGCUUCAACCCAUGCUUGAGUGAUAGCUGUAAAGGUAGAUCAAUGGUGUUGUAUAGUAAGAAAACUCCUCGGAGGGUAUGAGGGAGUUGAGACUUGGGUAGCGGAGGGGUGUGGUGCUAAUAAGUCUAUGGUUAGUCUUUGUUUAAGGGAAGAUUUCCUUGUGACAAUACCAAUGUGUUUGUGCUUGGCGCCAUGCUGUAAAUGGUGGAGAUUGGAAAACCCAAGUAAAAACCCCUCUGCAAAUCUUGGCUAUGAGUGUGUUUACAGCCGAUGGUUCUGUUGUGCUGACUGUAAGUGAGGGCAUGCUAUAUUCCUUGAAGUUGUAUUUAUGUUACCUGUAUGGGAGCCCUUUGACUCUCCAGAGCUUUAGUAAAUCUACUACAAGUCUGGAAGGGUGAAGAGUCAGUAGUGUUGAAAAUGCAUUAGUGUGUACAGAUGGUGAGUAAGUUUUUUGUAAGUUGUAUUGGGACACAUGGUUUGUCAUGCACCCUGAACCAUUUGAACAUAUAUGCAACAGUCUAUAUGCAAUGCAACUACUCAUACCAAUUGUCUCUGGUAGUUCAGAGGUGCUGGUACCUGGAACCUGAGAGUGCUCGUCCGUUCGUUUGGGACAAAAUCCCUUCUGUAUGGGUACCUGCACAAAUAAACAUCUCUACAUAUUCCAAAUGCCAACACAACCAAGGGAUGGUCAGUUCCCGAUUUACCUGGAAUCCCUGGAUCUGACCAUCACAGAUACAUCGUCAUACAUAUUUAUGCCUUGUUUCCCCAAUGUGCCGGGAUCAUAUGUGCAGGGUUAACGUCUUGUGUGUCAUAAGAAUUGAUUGUACCGGUAACCGAGUUUCGGUUGGUGCUGGUUGUACAGUAGCAUGAGGCCCAGCCUUGUGAGGGCUGUGGUGACCUACUCGAAAUUGCCAGUCUGUCAUAAAUUUAUUGGCUCAUGAGUUUAUGAGUGAGGCUAGCAUGGCCUGGUUGUCACCUGAGUUGGUGUUGCUGGGCCUUCCCCUGCCUCCGUGUUGUCCGUUGAUGUAUGGAGGAGUUUGAAUAACUCUGCUUUCCUUGCUGUGGCAGGGUAGGGGAUUUGUCGCCUCCUCAGGUCCGUGGUAAUGUGUGGUAUCGUCCAGGAUCUGAUUGCUGCUUGACUAGCAACAUCUCCUCUGCUUGAAGGUGUAUCACUUCUAGCCGGGGUGCUAGGAAGAGGUGAUUCUUCCCCAAUUUUUUUGAGAAAUACUUAAAUAACAAUAAGGAUUGCGGUAAAAUGGCAUCUGGAUGACCCAGAAGUGGAAAUCAUUCUGAUGCUGACCUCAAGCGAUAUGGAGGGGUGUCCCUUAUAUAGGGGAAUUAAUUUAAGCCCCUCCCACAAAUACAGGCCAAACGUCCUUAAUACAUACACACACAUCUCUAAGAACAAUAAAAAAAAAAAAAAAACACACCUUUUUUUCUUGAGAUAUUAAGUCAGAAAAGAACUGAAAAUACAUGGCCUCUCUGAAUUUCCCUAUCUCUGGGCUUCCAUGCUAGAUUUAGCAAUUGACAAACUAUAAUUGAAACAUUUCAUUAAAUGAUAUCAUUUCAACUCACUCAACAUAUUGGGGUUUAUUCAAGUAACCAUUUAAUGCAAGUCUUAAAUAUCCAAGCUGUGACAAAAGCCAAGUUGGAGAAGGUUUCCAAAUUAGGUACUUUUGCCUUAAUUUUGCAAUCCACUUUUCAAUUCACUAUAGUUUGCCGUUUAUUGAUAAUUAUAUAAUUUCACUUUCAUAUAGACUGCAUUAGAUAUAUAUAUAUAUAAAAAUAAAAGUAAUUAAAGCUGCCACUAGUUGAUGUCUUCCAAUUGUUUGAUAAGAAAUUAGAUUAAGCAUGUAUGAAAUUAAACAAUAAUCCUGUGUUUGCUAUAGAUCGACAGGUUUUGCAGCUGUAGCACCAAGCUCUGCCCAAACCAGAAAGUGACAUGGCCAAUCUUGGUGCAAGAACUCCUAACAGUCUCUCACGGUCCUGAUUUCAGGGUCCUGUCACACUUUAGUUUCCUGGUGUCCGACAUCUGGGGAUAAGCGAGUGCAUCAUUUAUCAACACUCUCUGCAUGAUCGUGGGGUCACUAUGGGGGUCACUAGUGACUGGCACCGCUCCCACAGGGGCAUGCCAACUCGUCACAAUUUUGUGGGCUCAAUUGUUGGGAGGUAUGUUGUGCUUCUGCAUUUUUCAAGUUCAUGGGCCCAUAAAACAUGGUUACAGGAGACUGCAUGGUGACAGGGAAAGUGGACCUUUUUGCAACUUAACCUGUGCUUGUUAUGAACUUGUUAUGGUGCCUUAAUCAGAAAGGACAGAAGGAAGCUACAUCCUGCGGCAAAGGCUCACCGUGCAUAUAGUGUAAAGCAUGAAGGAUUUACCUUAGCACAUGGUGUUACAUAGCUGAAAAGAAACAUGUGUCCAUCAAGUUCUCACAUCUGUUUUUGAGGUUGAUCCAAAAAAAAUGCAAAAAGCCCAGUUUAAAACACUUUCCAAAUUUAAAACAAACUAGGAAAAAAUUCCUUUUUGACCCGAGAAUGGCAGACAUAUCUCCUUGGGCCAGAGAUAUGUUACCCCACUAAUUAAAACGUCUAUCCCUUCAUAUUAUGUUUUGCAAGUAUUUAUCAGAUUGCUGUUUAACCCCGUAAGGACCAAACUUCUGGAAUAAAAGGGAAUCAUGACGUCACACGUCAUGUGUCCUUAAGGGGUUAAACAUCUGUAUAAACUCUGAUAAAACCACCUUUUAAUGGAGAUAAUUCCACAUCCUUGUUGUUCUUACUGUAAAAAACAAACCUUUCCUUUGCCUUAGACUAAAUCUCCUUUCUUCCAAUCUGAACGCAUGAUCUAUGUAUAGUUCUGUUGUGAAUAGAUUUUCCAGCGAUGGUUUGAAUUGGCCCUGAAUAUAUUUGUAUAAUGCUAUUAAAUCCUUUCUGAGGUGCUGUUUUUCCAAACUAAAGAGAUUUCACUUAUCGAACCUUUCUUUCCUUCUAAAAUGCUCCAUUCCUUUUAUACAUUUUUUCGCCCCAAUAUCCUUUUUUAGAACAGGUGCUCAAAAUUGCACAGCAUAUUCAAGGUGUGGUCUUAUCAGUGAUUUAUAAAAGAGGCAGAAUUAUAUUUUCAUCAGAAUUAAUGCCCCUAUGUAUACUUGACAAUACCCAUCACAUUGCACAGUUUCCUAGUUUGAUGUCUAUAACAAUUCCCAAAUCCUUCUCGUAUGUUAUCCCUAAUUCAUAACCAUUUAGGGUAUAGGUUGUUUGUGCAUGCUUUCCCCAAAGUGCAUAACUGCAUUUAUCUACAUUAAAUUUUGCCAUUUGAGUGCCAGAUCCCCCAAUCUAUUUAAAUCCCUCUGCAGCAAAGCAAUAUCCUGCUUAUAUUGUAUUAUUUUACAGAGUUUUGUGUCAUCUGCAAACACUGAAACAUCACUUUCAAUGCUUAUUUCAAAAUCAUUUUUAAAUACAUUAAAUAGAAGCUCUCCCAGAACCGAACCUUGAGGGACACCACUAACCACCUAUCUCCCGCUUGAAAAUGUACUAUUAAUGACAACUCUCUGUACUCUAUUUUUAAGCCAAUAUUCUACCCACGAACAAGAACUUUAAUCGAGCCUAUUGUGAGGAAUCAUAUCAAACGCCUUGGAACAAUCCACGUAGAUCACAUUCGCUGCAACACCCUGAUCUAUAAUUUACUUACUUCUUCAUAGAAUGCAAUAUAGUCUGACAUGAACUUUGUUUCAUAAAACGAUGCUGAUUGUGGUUAUCAACUAAACGGUGUAUGUAUGUCAGCACAACUAUCAAGGCAUUUAUAUGUACCUGUCCAUUGUAAACAGAUGAAAGUUUGAUUGCACACUUACUAAAAAGGCUCACAAAAAAAUGUCGAAAGGAACAUUGAGUUCUAGAUGUGGAUUUGGUAUAUCAGAUCACA